AUCAAAAUCCAGCUCCUUAGAGUGCUGCUCAACACCCACAGGACAGGAUUACAGAGGCUCUGCGGGAAGUCCUAUCUGCUCUGUGCUCAUGAUGAUUCUUCCUACUCAAAAAUCCUUUACCCAUCUGGCAACGUUAUAUUAGCCCUCAUAUAACAAAUACAUCCAAAGUGCUUUCAAAAGUGUAUUUUACAAAAUAAUUCAAAAAAGUAUUAUUUGUGUUAUCCUAUGUAUGAUAUUGGAAUAUAAACAUAAUUUGACCCAUAAAUAAUAUCCAGCUUUUCCAAAACAAAAAAGAAAAUUCAAUCAAAUAGGGUUACAUGAACAACACACACCUGAAAUCAAUGAUCAAUAGUUUUAAAUCAGUAAUAAUAGUAUUCUCUGAACUACUUGAUUUUUUCUACUUUGUUCUCUGUGUUAAUUGUACUAUAAAAAUUAAAAAAAAAAACUUUCUGUGCAUAAUAAAGUGAUCUAUCAGCAUAUACU